rnacentral:tRNA from 1 species
UCCCUGGAGGACUAGUGGUUAGGCCAUGGCGCUCUCACCACUGUGGCACGAGUUCGAUUCCUGGCCAGGGAA